rnacentral:misc_RNA from 1 species
GAUGAAGAACGCAGCGAAAUGCGAUACGUAAUGUGAAUUGCAGAAUUCAGUGAAUCAUCGAAUCUUUGAACGCGCAUUGCGCCCCCUGGUAUUCCGGGGGGCAUGCCUGUUCGAGCGUCAUUUCACCACUCAAGCCUCGCUUGGUAUUGGGCGACGCGGUCCGCCGCGCGCCUCAAAUCGACCGGCUGGGUCUUUCGUCCCCUCAGCGUUGUGGAAACUAUUCGCUAAAGGGUGCCGCGGGAGGCCACGCCGUAAAACAACCCCAUUUCUAAGGUUGACCUCGGAUCAGGUAGGGAUACCCGCUGAACUUAAGCAUAUCAAUAAGCGGAGGA